UGUUCAAUAUAAUUGAAAUCAGUGAUGAAGAUAUAAUUCAAGCUCGUCGUCACUACACAAAGGCGUUGGUGGAUGGAAUCACUUAUGAUCUCUAUGAUGAUGCCCAUGUGCAAGGAGAGACGAAAGAGGAACCCUACAUUUGUAAGAUUGUGGAAAUGUUUGAGGCAAUUGGUGGUAUAUUAUAUUUUACUGCACAAUGAUACUAUAGAUCACGAGACACUGUCAUAAAGCACUGUGCUAGUGUUGCUUGUGAGCGUGUAUUUUUUUCAGAUGUCCGAGACGACAACCAUCUGGAUUGUCUUGUUGAAAAACUUCAUAUUAUUAGGCUGACACUAAAUGUUGAUCAAGAUGUGAAGAGUAAAUCAAUUCCAGUGUGCAAUUACUAUUGCGACACCAAGUAUUUGCUACCGUAUUCUACUUUUGUCAAUCUGCGAACAGGAUAUUGUUCUCUUUCUACUUACUGUCAUGAUGCUGGUUUUUCUUUCUUUCAUUUGCAAGGUUCAUAUGAAUUCACAUGUUAUCUCUGUUGAGGAUGAUGUGUUGUUUGGAUAGUGAGGUUGAUUCAAAGCUGUCAAAUGGUGUGUGCGAAAUCAGAAGUAAGGCUCCUGGACCUAGAUUUGGGUUGUGAAGGGAUGUCCACUGGCUUGUGCCUUGGUGCACAUUUGGGCAGUGUCAAUCUUGUAACAAUAUGGGCUGUUGACUGCAAUGGAUACGCUUGCAAGAGUCUAGAACAGAAGUACAGAACUAUCCAGAGACAGAUGUUUGUGUUUGUAUCCUACCGUUUUCCUCACCUUUGAUUUGGUGCUUUAAUUUUUCUUCUUGUAUAAUUCAUUGUCCAAUUCACACAUCAGGUCCGAAAUGAAGCUGCUGAAGAUUUCCUCAAAAUGCUCAAGGAAUGGAGAAAAUAUUGCUUCUGCUUAAAGUUGGUUGAGACUGACAAUUUAGAGGCGGAUGUCGAGAAGAGUAUGCUUGAAUUCUUUAGGAAGGAAGAUGAUGAAGAGGAAGAAGAUGUUAGAGGAAAUGUUAAGGAUGAUUCUGAAAUUUUUAGAGUUGAUUGCGUAGGAGUAUGUUUUGGUGACCCCCAAAAAAAAUGAGAAGGAAAUAUACCUAAAGAUUUAUUGGAAGGGCUACAGGCCUGAGGAAGACACCUGGGAGCCAAUGAAUGAACUGGACUCUGCAACUAUUCUUAUUUAUGCUUGCAGUAUUAUCUGUUGCAUGUUUUGUAUCAUUUAUGUAAGCAGGCUGUCGAAGACUUAAUUACUGAAGGUUACAGAUGAUAUACACAUGUUUAUCAUGCACCAUGGUUAUUUUUCGUAUCGUGAAAGUUUUAUGCUUCCUGGUAUUA